CCCGCCCAUCCGCGCCUGUCGCCUCCCGCUGUCACCCAGGUCUCCCGGCGCGGGGUACCUUCUCCCUGGCACUGGCUGGCCGGGAAAGGAGCCUGACUCAUCCCAGCUGGGACCCGGCAGAUGCCAGAGGGAGCAGUCUCAUCCCGUCGCCCGCACCGUAGAAGAAGGGCAACGCUGCUCCAGACUCACCUUGCACCCAGCUGGCCAGGAGCUCUUGGCAAGGCAGAUCGGCUGCUCCCGCCAUGCCCCACUUCUUGGAUUGGUUUGUGCCCAUGUAUCUGAUGAUCUCCAUUCUCAUCCUGGUGGGCUUUGGAGCUUGCAUUUACUACUUUGAACCAGGACUCCAGGAAGCCCAUAAGUGGCGAACACAGAGGCCAAUCAUGGAGCGAGACCUUCGGAAGACACUGAUGAUUCGGGACAACCUGGCCUUUGGGGUGCCUGAGGUCUGACAAGCUGCCCAUUGCAGCCAGAGGAAUCUCUCCUGGGUAGGCACCAGACCACAAGCCUCACUAGGGAUGGCAGUCCUGCCUUGGUACAAGUGCAGCAGCUCAUCACUUUGCUCUGUGCUGAUCUGGGUCUCACACUCAUCACUCACCAUUCUGCCCCUUUGCUUCUUAGUCAAGAUUUGUGUGGCUGAGGCUUCCCAUGUGCUCACAGAUCUUCAGCCAGUCAAGGACUUCUGCUCCUUCCCAUGGCCAAGACAGAUGAACCACUCAAAUGAAAUAUCCCUUGUUAAUCACUUGAGCUAGAGCUGCCUGGCAUCUUGACCAAUCUUCAGUAGGAAAGGUACCGGCUUUUGCAAAGGGAUGCAGAACCUUGUACUCCUAUUCCCUAUGUUAAAUCUAACACAGUGUAAGUCCAAGGGGUAUUUUUGGGAAAAUAAGUGGGGUUUCAAUACAAAUUGUUUCUUCAGCUGAGCUCUUCCCAGCACCCACUCUUGGUGCUAGGAUGGUAAGCUUGCCGAAGCUCUAUGCAGAGGGACCAAGGGCUCAGUGAGCCUCAGAGACUGAAUGCCUUUAUCCUUGCUAAAUGCACACCCCUGCCGUGUCUGUUUGGGAGACAGUGAACAUCCAUCCAUAAAUCCAUUUCAGAUGCACCACAUUCAAAUUAAAGGUCUUU